rnacentral:antisense_RNA from 1 species
AGACAACUGAGAGGAAGGAGGUACCACGGGCACUCUCUCGCGAGAGGGCCGCAGAGCCGCCUUUGACGGGGGCGUGUACCUGGAGAGCAACGGUAAGGACGUCGCCGGGCUCCGGCGUUGGGUCGGUUCCGGCAUCGACGUAUCGUUUGGUCGCCCCAGAGAGGAGACAGGUUCCUUCAGCUUGCCGCUGAGGAUGUGGCAUCGGCUGCGCUCACCGCCGCCGCCUCUGUGAACUGCGGGAGUUGGGAUAGCGGCCAGGGCUAGAUGGGUGGGACGCGAGUCCUCGCCGAAAGCUUGCCCUGUGCGGGGCGCACUUGGAGGCGAGCUCUGGGCCGUGGCGAGUUUUGCAGCCUAAGGUCUUGGCAGGCGCAUUGCUGUGGGCUGCCGGAGAGCAGGCUGGAGUUCGAGACCGCCCACCGGAGAGCAGGCGAGAGUUCGAGGCCUAGGCACAGCGCAUUUCGCUAGGCAUCCCCAAGAAUAUCCGCGUGAUCCUUGUGGCCAGAGUUUGUUAGGCUAAUGUCCCCAGCCCAAACGGUAGAGCACAUCACAUGUCGGCCACCUGGGAGCGUUGAACCUGGUAGUUACUAGGCGCCUCUGGUGGAAAUAAAACUCAUUAUUCCCUAGUUAUGUCUUAGUGCCUGGGUGACGAUGAUGUAGCGGUUAAAGAUUAACUGAGCGCACUUAGAGGUUGUCUUUGUCUACCUAAGGAAAAUAUCAAUAUAUUAAACUCCCAACCUUAAAGAAUCUCCGUGAAUUCUUCUGAGGAAACGUGCAAUAUUGUCAUACAGAAGGCCCCAAAUAUGCAAACAUUGCUUUUUGUUAAAAGUUUGUUUUGUUUUGCAGUGACAUCUGUUUGAGCAGAUGAAUAUGCCAUUGGGAAAGUCAAGGACUGUCGGAGAGGAGGACAUGGCAGACCUUAACUAAAGUGAGGGGGACAGUAGAGCACUAAAAGUUCUAGGAAAGGAGAUGAACUGCUUAUUCCAUCAGAUGAAAAUAUAGUCAGAACAGAUGAGUAGUAGAACUUAAACAUGCCCGGAGUUGCCAGGAAUUUGCAAAAGCCUUGAUAUAAUUCCUGUUGCUGUAGAAAGACUUUCUACAGUCACUAAUAUACCAAGUUAUGUUCACUAGAAAAAAAGUUUACUUACUUAGUUUAUAGAAAUGGGCUGAAAAAUCCUAAUUAUUUAUCUGUGAGGUUAUUUUCAUGAAGGUUAAUCAUCAAGAAACUAUUAGAGAGCUUCGGAAUAUAUUUCUUCUAAUCUGCUCUACCUAUCCCAUUCAAAGGAGGGAAUCUGAAGAUUUAAGGACAAAGAGCAGUUGAAAACUCAGAGCUGUGGUUAAUGGGAGAAUUUCAAGGAUGGUGAAAAAAACUAACAUCAUUGCAUCCCUGUUUUUUGUAUUCUGGACUUUUUAGUUUAGCUCUUGGUAAACUACAUCAGAAAUUCUUUAUGCUAACUCUUAACACACAUUUUGGGGUAUUGCUAAUUUAAUCUUUGAAUACUGUUUUUGCUGUUUCAUGUUAUAUGUUAUGUCCUACCAGCUAGAUUGCCAACUCUUGACUACUGACUGGAAGUUUAUUGUUUAUUCAGCAAAUAAUGAAUUAAGUCAGUGAAGUGAGAGAUUUCGUGUGUAAGGAUUGUUAACUUGAACAUUUCACCAGUUACACACAGUUCAGCCCUACUUAAAUUUUAAAAAUCAUUGUUGGCACUUGACAUUGUUAUGAGGAGUUUUGUAUUUUCAACUUGUAUUUUGAGAGUGUCCUCAUGUGACUGAAGUAUGUGCUACUCUUCUUAAUUGAAUAACCCCAGAAUCUCCAGAAUUGAUAAUUGGAGGAAAUUCUACUGUUGGAAAGAAUGGAUGGAUUAUACAGCCCUGUUUUUUGACAGUUCAUUUUGUCCUUGGAGUCACUACCACUUGGCCUCAAAGUGUGAACAUGUAACCCUUUCCUUAAUACUUUGCUACACAGCUGAGCAGAAACUGUAAAUUUGGAUCCUUUAUCAGUACAACUUAAAAUGGAACAAUUUCAAUGGCUUAGGGUAAGAUAAGUAUGUAAAGAUACUUUUGUAAUAGAAGAAAAAACAUUGGAUAUUAAAAUCACACAGUAGUACCUGGGUGUGGUGGCUCAUGCCUAUAAUCCCAACGCUUUGGGAGGCCAAGGCAGGAGCACUGCUUGAGGCCAGGAAUUUGAGACCAGCCUGGCCAACAUGGUGAAACCUCGUCUCUACCAAAAAAUACAAAAAUCAGCCAGGUGUGGUGGCACAUGCCUGUAAUCCCAGAUACUCGGGAGGCUGAGGUGGGAGAAUCGCUUGAACCAGGGAGGUGGAGGUUGCAGUGAGCUGAAAUCGCAAAACUGCACUCCAACUUGGGCAACAGAGUGAGACCUCCUGUCUCCAAAAAAAAAAAAAAAUAAAAAAAAAUAAAAAAAAAAAGUGGGUGUUGUUGUGUACACCUCUACUUCCUGCUACUCAGGAGGCUGAGGCUGGAGGAUCUCUUGAGCCCAGGAGUUCAAGUUUGCAGUGAGCUAUAGUUGCACUGCUGCACUCCAGCCUGGGUAGCACAGCGAGACCCCCAUCUCUAAAACAUAAAAGUAAACAGGCUGGGUGCAGUGGCUUACACCUGUAAUCCCAGCACUUUGGGAGGCCGAGGAGGGUGGAUCAUGAGGUCAAGAGUUGAGACCAGCCUGGCCAACGUGGCGAAACCCCAUCUGUACUAAAAAUACAAAAAUUAGCCAGUCGUGGUGCCAGGUGCCUUUAAUCCCAGCUAUUCAGGAGGCUGAGACAGGAGAAUCGCUUGAACCUAGGAGACAGAGGUUGCAGUGAGCCAAGAUCAUGCCAUUGCACUUCAGCCUGGGCGACAAGAGCAAGACUGUGUCUCAAAAAAAAAAAAAAAAAAGUAGAAAACAGAAUAGCAUAAGGAUAAUCUUAUAUACAAAAUAAGACUACUCAAUUUCUGAAUUUUUUUUUUUUUUUACUAGAUAUGCCACCUCCUGAUGACAGUGCCCAUUUCGUAACUUGUCUUACUCAGAAACAGCUCUUAGAUAAUUUUACUCUUUAAGUUCAGGUCUGAGCACAGAGGACAAAGAAUUCCCUUGAUUGCCUACGAAAGAAAGGAUUCUCAACCUUGGCACUAUUGACAUUUUAAGUCAGAUAAUUCUUUGUUGUGGAAGGUUAUCCUGUGCAUUGUAGGAUGUUUAUUUUAUCAGCAUCCCUGGCUUCUACCCAGUAAAUCCCAGUAGCACCCCACCACCAACCAAAACUGUCUCAAAAUGUUGCUAGAUGCCCCUUGGGGACAAAAAUCCUCUCCCUCCCUCCUCCUUGAAUGCCACUGGCACUCCUUGAGCCUACAAAAGGGCUCUUCUCACAAGUUUGAUACCCUGUACAUCCCAGUUGAUAGUGGGAAUUACUUCUCCUUUGAAGACACAAUUCCAGUUACCCUGAGAAGUAUGGCAUUGGCCUUGCUGGCCUCCACCAAAUUACUGUAUCACUGUGUUUAGUAACCCCAGACAUCAUACUAGGGCUUUAAUUUCAGUAUAUAAAUAGUAAAUUAGUAUCCUUGUAUAGGUUAGCUUAGUGAGUUUCAGAAUUCUUCAAGUCAUAUCUUAAUAGGUAGGAUCACUGUGGAGUUAAUGGCAUUUGAACUGUGUACUCAGUACUAUGCUAGUGGUUGGUGCAAGGGGAAGAUACAAAAUAAGGUGUGAUUUUAGCCCAUGAGGAAUUUAUACUUUAUCUGCAGAAGCAAAUUAAUAUGGAACCAUUAGUGAACACCUGGAUAAAAUAGAAUGCUAAAUUUUACCCUAGAGGUGCUUGGCCUGGACUUCAAGAAUUCUAAGUGAAUUGAAGUAUGUUCACAGUAAGAAAGGUUAAAAAUGGCUCUGCCCACUUGUAGGCAGAUGGGAAGCUAGGAUGGCAGACUUGCCAAUAUUUGAUAUAUGUAAAAAGUGCAAUCAUGGCCUCUGUUUGUUUCCUCUUUUAUCUCGUUCUCUUUAUUAGUCCAGGUUCUCUAGAGGAAUAGAACUAAUAGGAGAUACAUAUAUAUAUAUAUGGAGUUUAUUAAGUAGUAUUAACUCACAUGAUCACAAGGUCCCAGAAUAGGCCAUAUGCAAGCUGAGGAGAAAGGAAGCCAGUUGAGUUUCAAAGCUGAAGAACAUGGAGUCCAAUGUUUGAGGACGGGAAGCAUCCAACGUGGGAGAAAGCUGUAGGCUGGGAGGCUAAGCCAGUCUAGUCUUUUCACGUUUUUCUGCCUGCUUUAUAUUCUGGUUGUGCUGGCAGCUGAUUAGAUGGUGCCCGCCCAGAUUAAGGGUGGGUCUGCCUUUCCCAGCCCACUGACUCAAAUGUUAAUCUCCUUUGGUAACACUCUCACAGACACACUCAGGAUCCAUACUUUGCAUCCUUUAAUCCAAUCAAGUUGACUGUAUUAACCAUCACAAGUCCACCACUUGUCAACUUGAACACAUACAUAUCUCCUGAGAUCAUUCAUAAUCUUCAAAUAAAGACAAUAAUAAUGUCAUAAUUACACCUAAUACAACUAUCCUUUGUACAACUGGAAACACACCAGUCCCCAACCCAAAUGCUAUUACAUAAAGUUAACAAUACUUAAAUGCUGAUAUGAAGUAAAUCUUAUGUCACAUGAUAAAAGGAGGCUGGGCGCAGUGGCUCAUGCCUGUAAUCCCAGCACUUUGGGAGGCCGAGAUGAGUAAUGGCUUUUGACAGUAAUAGAGGGUCUCAACCUGAUUUUUCUUAAGUUUGCAUAAGGCUUAGGAGAGGAUAAAAUAAGGCAGGAUCUAGAGAUUGGUGAGGAGAAAUGGAAGUCCUCAUUCUUGACAGCUCUCAGCACAUGCAGCCCUCCCCACACACAGAGACACACUCUCACACUCACAACCAGAUUCACAUUCCUACCCAUGCACACACUAACACACACUCGUGCACUUAAACUCAUGCACUUACACAUUCACAUUCAUAUACCCACAUGCACACACUCAAAACACACACAUACUCUACAAACACUCAUGUUGCAAAAGGGGAUUUGUAAGCUGAAUGUUUAGACCUCAGAACACAUAUUUUCACAAAAAUAAUAUUAUGGCCGGGCGCUGUGGCUCACGCCUGUAAUCCUAGCACUUUGGGAGGCUCAGCUGGGCAGAUCACUUGAGAUCAGGAGUUCAGGACCAGCCUGGCCAACAUACUAAAAAUACAAAAAUUAGCCAGGCAUGGUGGUGCAUGCCUGUAAUCCCAGCUACUCGGGAGGCUGAGGCAGGAGAAUCGCUUGAACCCAGGAGGCAGAGGUUGCAGCGAGCCGAGAUCCUGCACCUAUACCUAUACCUGCCACUGCACUCCAGACUGGGCAACAAGAGCGAGGCUCCGUCUCAAAAAAAAA